rnacentral:rRNA from 1 species
GGGGCGCAGCAGGCGCGAAAACUGCACAAUGUGGGAAACCACGAUGCGGGAAACCCAAGUGCCAGCGCUAUGCGUUGGCUGUCCUCCAGUGUUCGUAACUGGGGAAGAAAGUGCUGGGUAAGACGGGUGCCAGCCGCCGCGGUAAUACCCGCAGCACAGGUGGUGGUCAUUAUUAUUGGGCCUAAAGCGUCCGUAGCUGGCUUGUUAGAUGCCUGGGUAAAUCGAUGCGCUCAACGCAUCGAACUCCGGGUAGACCGGCAAGCUUGGGACCGGGAGAGGCGUGAGCUACUCGAGGGGUAGGGGUAAAAUCCUGUAAUCCUUCGGGGAGGACCAGUGGCGAAGGCGUCACGCUAGAACGGCUCCGACAGUGAGGGACGAAGCCCUGGGGCGCAAACCGGAUUAGAUACCCGGGUAGUCCAGGGUGUAAACGCUGCAGACUUGGUGUCGGUGAUCCUACGAGGGUUGCCGGUGCCGUAGAGAAGUUGUUUAGUCUGCCGCCUGGGGAGUACGGUCGCAAGACUGAAACUCAAAGGAAUUGACGGA